rnacentral:misc_RNA from 1 species
AAAUUAUUAUAACUAUCCAAUUAACUAUCAAUAUUAAUACUUAAAUAAUUAUUAAAAUAAGUGGUAAUUAUUAGAAUAAAUAAUUAUUAAAAUAAAUGAUAACAACACUAAAGCCGUUGUUGAAGAAGGCCAAAAAACACACAAAAAUGAAAAAUAUAAAUUAUGGACUUCUUCUCAACAGCCACUAGGCCCGAGCAGAAUUCGGUUCAAAUUGAAAAAUUGAAUCGAAUUGAAUCAAUUCGAUUCAAUCGGUUUGAUUUUAAAA